rnacentral:rRNA from 1 species
UACGUAGGGUGCAAGCGUUAAUCGGAAUUACUGGGCGUAAGGCGUGCGCAGGCGGUUUUGUAAGUCUGAUGUGAAAUCCCCGGGCUCAACCUGGGAAUUGCAUUGGAGACUGCAAGGCUAGAAUCUGGCAGAGGGGGGUAGAAUUCCACGUGUAGCAGUGAAAUGCGUAGAGAUGUGGAGGAACACCGAUGGCGAAGGCAGCCCCCUGGGUCAAGAUUGACGCUCAUGCACGAAAGCGUGGGGAGCAAACAGG